rnacentral:rRNA from 1 species
GACGAACGCUGGCGGCGUGCUUAACACAUGCAAGUCGAACGGAAAGGCCCUGCUUUUGUGGGGUGCUCGAGUGGCGAACGGGUGAGUAACACGUGAGUAACCUGCCCUUGACUUUGGGAUAACUUCAGGAAACUGGGGCUAAUACCGGAUAGGAGCUCCUGCUGCAUGGUGGGCGUUGGAAAGUUUCGGCGGUUGGGGAUGGACUCGCGGCUUAUCAGCUUGUUGGUGGGGUAGUGGCUUACCAAGGCCUUGACGGGUAGCCGGCCUGAGAGGGUGACCGGCCAAAUUGGGACUGAGAUGCGGCCCAGACUCCUACGGGAGGCAGAAGUGGAGAAUAUUGCACAAUGGGCGGAAGCCUGAUGCAGCAACGCCGCGUGCGGGAUGACGGCCUUCGGGUUGUAAACCGCUUUCGCCUGUGACGAAGCGUGAGUGACGGUAAUGGGUAAAGAAGCACCGGCUAACUACGUG